GCUUGGUUGGCUCAGUUGGUAGAGCGUUGGUCUCAUAUCUCGAAUAUGACGGUUCUCAGAAACUGAAAUCCAAAGGUCGUGAGUUCGAGCCUCACACCGAGCA
rnacentral:tRNA from 1 species